rnacentral:rRNA from 1 species
GCGCGAAACCUCCGCAAUGUGAGAAAUCGCGACGGGGGGAUCCCAAGUGCCAUUCUUAACGGGAUGGCUUUUCAUUAGUGUAAAGAGCUUUUGGAAUAAGAGCUGGGCAAGACCGGUGCCAGCCGCCGCGGUAACACCGGCAGCUCUAGUGGUAGCAGUUUUUAUUGGGCCUAAAGCGUCCGUAGCCGGUUUAAUAAGUCUCUGGUGAAAUCUUGCAGCUUAACUGUGGGAAUUGCUGGAGAUACUAUUAGGCUUGAGAUCGGGAGAGGUUAGAGGUACUCCCAGGGUAGAGGUGAAAUUCUGUAAUCCUGGGAGGACCACCUGUGGCGAAGGCGUCUAGCUGGAACGAUUCUGACGGUGAGGGACGAAAGCUAGGGGCGCGAACCGG